rnacentral:rRNA from 1 species
AUUGAACGCUGGCGGCAGGCCUAACACAUGCAAGUCGAGCGGAUGAAGGGAGCUUGCUCCUGGAUUCAGCGGCGGACGGGUGAGUAAUGCCUAUGAAUCUGCCUGGUCGUGGGGAAUAACGUCCUAAAACGGGCUCUAAUACCGCGUACGUCCUGUGGGCGAAAGGGGGUGAGCUUGCGACCUCUCGCUAUCAUAUGAGCCUAGGUGGGAUUAGCUAGUUCGUGGGGUAACGGCUUACCGAGGCGACGAUCCGUAACUGGUCUCAGAGGAUGAUCAGUCACACGGGAACUGAGACACGGUCCAGACUCCUACGGGAGGACGCAGUGGGGAAUAUUGGACAAUGGGCGAAAGCCUGAUCCAGCCAUGCCGCGUGUGUGCAGAAGGUCCUCGGAUUGUAAAGCACUUUAAGUUGGGAGGAAGGGCAGUAAGUUAAUACCUUGCUGUUUUGACGUUACCAACAGAAUAAGCACCGGCUAACUUCGUG